UGACAGGUCAGUUUGGGAAGUGCCGUGACUGUCAGAAUUCAUUAAAAAAAAAGGAAGCUUAGAAGAACUGUAUACAGUGGUGUGAAAAAAUGCUAUCCAGGAAGUGAGGAAGGGAGCAGAGCGCACCAUGAGUGACAAGCUUCACCCCAACAUGUUUGAUCACCACCACAUGAAGCUGUUCAGAGCCCAGAGGAACCUCUACAUCUCAGGCUUCUCCCUCUUCCUCUGGCUUACUCUUAGACAUGUCAUCUCCCUUAUUAAUCAGUUAGCGACUGUAGUAGGCACAUAUGUGCUU